rnacentral:rRNA from 1 species
ACGGAGAGUUUGAUCCUGGCUCAGGGUUAACGCUGGCGGUGCGCAUAACACAUGCAAGUCGAGCGAGGGCUCAUUUCCCGCAAGGGAGAUGAGUUCCUAGCGGCGAACGGGUGAGUAACACGUGGGCAACCUUUCCUAUCGCGGGGGAUAACAGCG